GCAAGGAUGGCGGAAUCGGUAGACGCGCUACUUUGAGGGGGUAGUGAAUUUCAUUCGUGGGAGUUCAAAUCUCCUUCCUUGCACCA
rnacentral:tRNA from 1 species